UUUUUUUUUUCAAGUACAGAAAAAGGCUUUCUACCCCUUUAAACAGAUGUUUCCAGUGGUUUAUUCUUCACUGUUUAUAACCUUUGGCAUGUUUGAAAGGAUUGGCAAUCAGACCAGACUUGGAUUCCAAAACUGCAGCCAAAUUGCUUUUGCCUUUGUAAAGUAAUAAACAAAUGAAAAUUAGCUCCAGAGGGUAUAAGAACAUUUUAAAUAUAGAGAAAAGGAAUUCUCAUCUGUAGCCAUCCUGAAGCAGUAG